rnacentral:rRNA from 1 species
GGCUUGUUGAUAAUAAUUUCAAGUCUGACCUGCCCAAUGAUUUAAACGUUAAAUGGCCGCGGUAAAUUGACUGUGCAAAGGUAGCAUAAUCAUUAGUUUUUUAAUUGAAAGCUUGUAUGAAGGGUUUGAUGAGAAAAAUUCUGUCUCUAGAAAAAUUUAUUAGAAUUUUAUUUUUAAGUGAAAAAGCUUAAAUAUUUAUAGAAGACGAGAAGACCCUAUAGAGUUUUAUAUUUAUGAUAAAAAUCAAAUUUAAAGAUUAAAAAAUUUUUUUUUAUGACUAAAUAUUUUAUUGGGGUGAUAGGAAAAUUUAAUUAACUUUUCUUUUAUGAAAACAUUGAUUUAUGAAUUAAUGAUCCUAAAAUUUAGAUUAAAAGAUUAAAUUACCUUAGGGAUAACAGCGUAAUUUUUCUUAGAGUUCUUAUCGAAAGAAAGGAUUGCGACCUCGAUGUUGGAUUAAAAUAAAUUAUUGGUGUAGAAGCUAAUGGAUUAAGUCUGUUCGACUUUUAAAAUUUUACAUGAUCUGAGUUUAAACCGGUGUGAA